CACAUUGCCUUGAAGCCACCACACAACCAUGAAAAGCAGCUGAAAACAUAACUCAGCCUCCUCAGAGAGCACCUGGCUGUGGAACAAACUGCAGUCUUUCCCUCACCCAGAGGAGGCUACGAAAAGCCCAGGCAGAGAAGAUUGCUGGGAAGGUGUGUGAUACAUAAACUGAUGGGAGCCAGUAUCAUGAGUGGUUGAACAGCUUCAAGAGGCUGGUACAAGUCUAUCCCAGCUGAAGAGCUAUCCCAGUACAUGGAUGAGUCCUUCAUAAAUCUCUGCACCUCUUUCUCCAAGCAGGCAACAUCAGGAGUGCCCUUGGCAGGCUGCUGCUUCCAACAGCAGGAACAUUGAAAUGGACCUUCAUCAUUUAUGGCUUGGACAUAUACCAAAAUAAACCCCAAAUUUAAUAUUCUGGGCUGUAAACCAAAGUAAAUCAAUAAAGAAGAGCUUCUUGUCCACAUGGAA